rfam:Ancylostoma duodenale strain Zhejiang A_duodenale-1.0_Cont24676.1, whole genome shotgun sequence.
AGUCUCUGGCUCCUCUGCAUUUAACCGAGAAAAUCCUUCGCCUUUUACUAAAGAUUUCCGUGCAGAGGUGCAUUAUAUGAGUAUUUGAGUAUUUUUGGAAUACCCUCGAAAGAGCGGGGU